rnacentral:rRNA from 1 species
GACGAACGCGGCGGCGUGCCUAAUACAUGCAAGUAGAACGCUGAAGGAGGAGCUUGCUUCUCUGGAUGAGUUGCGAACGGGUGAGUAACGCGUAGGUAACCUGCCUGGUAGCGGGGGAUAACUAUUGGAAACGAUAGCUAAUACCGCAUAAUAGCAGUUAUUGCAUGAUAACUGUUUGAAAGGUGCAAUUGCAUCACUACCAGAUGGACCUGCGUUGUAUUAGCUAGUUGGUGGGGUAACGGCUCACCAAGGCGACGAUACAUAGCCGACCUGAGAGGGUGAUCGGCCACACUGGGACUGAGACACGGCCCAGACUCCUACGGGAGGCAGCAGUAGGGAAUCUUCGGCAAUGGACGGAAGUCUGACCGAGCAACGCCGCGUGAGUGAAGAAGGUUUUCGGAUCGUAAAGCUCUGUUGUAAGAGAAGAAACGAGUGUGAGAAGUGGAAAAG